UUUUUAUUUGAACAAUUGUAGACUUUUUUUUAUUUCUUUCCACACAGGAAGCAUUCAUAUAUGGGUUGAAAGCACAGGUUUUGUUGUUGUUGUUUCAAUUUACAGUUUUGUGAGUGCAAGGGAAAAAAAGAAUUAUUUACUUUGUAGACAAGAGGGCAGAUAGGAAACUAUUACUAUUUAAAAAUACAUGUAACUUAAUUAUAAGGGAGUUAUUCUGCAUCUCUAUGAAGGCAGAACAUGAAAAAAUAUUCCUAAAUUGUUACUGAAGGGACCUUUCUUUCUACUGUUAACUCGCGACUCUCCUUUGUGAUACGUAACUAGCAGUGAGAUCUUUGAGUCAAAUGAACAUAUAUUUUAUUGAAAUCAAAACAUUUUUUGUUAACAUUUAUUCCAAAUUGGCUUUCCAAAUGGCUGGACUAAUUCACAGCUCAUUAAUAGUAUAUAUGUAUUUCAGCAUUCUUUAGAAGCUAUUCUAAUAAUGGAGAGAAAACAUACAAUCAGAUAUUAUGCAAGGAAAAAUGUUUUCCAUUUAUCUCCAGAAGCAAAGGGUAGGCUUUCUUUAGUUGGGGGAUGGAUGGAGACAUGGGUGUAUUGGUCUACAACAUGUUUUUAAAUUUAAUUGGCAGUUAUUAACAUAUCCUCUAUCAUUUUCUUAAAUUUAGACAAUCAACAAAACAAUAAAUUAAGCCCUGCUUUGUAGCCUUUGCCAAUUUCUAAGAUGUAAAUGCUCACAUUAAAAAUUUAACAAUUGACUCUUGGGAAUCAGUUAGAGUUGGCUUUAGCACAUCCUUGCAUGGAGGUCACUGGAAAUAUUCUCCAAGAGGAGAGCUUGGCUAGGAUGAUGGAUGUUCAUUUCUGUACUUUUCCACCUAGAGUCAGGACCCCUGCAAAUUAAGCUUUCCAACACUCUCCAGUGAGAUAUGUACUUCAUAAGAUGUUGAUAUCCCUGGGAUGGGUCCAGUUGGAAGGGAGGGAAAAAUUAGAGAGAAACAAUAAAUGUUAUUUUUUUUAUUUAUGGAUUUUCAGUAUACAGAACUAUUGGAUAUGUUAUAUUUUGAGAACUAGAGACAAACUAUGCUUACUGGAAAGCACCUUAGAUCAAAUGAGGCAGUAUUUUAAAAAGUUCUAUAUAAAAAUCAGUUUAUUAUCAUUAUUAUUGUUAUUUUAGAGCUCCAAAGGCCCUAAAAUAUCAAAUGUCAGAACAGAGAGGGGGCCUUAGACACAGAACACCAGUCUUGAAAGGGGCCUUAUAGAAUAUAAAAACUGAGAUGUUUGACACAACCAAGAACAUUAUAGCAAAGAGAAGUAUGAGAAUACAGAAUGUCAGAGAUGGGAAAGGUCUUAGGAAAUAGAAUAUCAGAACUUGGAUGGAUUUUUGGAGGCUUCCUUUUUAUUUUAUUUUACAGAUUCCUAUUUAUUUUAUAGAUUGAGAAAACAAGGCUCAGAGAACUUGAUCCAAUGGCUGUUAAUCCCAAUGAAAGCUCCCUUUAAGUAUAAGGUAGAUUUCUACUGGGCUCUUAUAGUUCUGAAAUUGUGCAUCUUUAGGGUUUAUAUGUCUCAUCCCGUAAUCCAGAUGCUACCAUCAGUCACUUAUAUUUUGGAGAUCCCAUCACAUAUAGCAAAUCUCAGGUUUAAAAGAUACUCUAAACAAAAGAUAGAAAUCGGUCAUGGAACAUCUUCUGUGAGGAUUAGCAAGAAUGAUAUUUUGGCUGAAACAUAGAAUAUAUGCAGGUGAGUGAUGAGUAAUGAGUCUAUAAAGGAAGAUUUAGACCAGGUUGUAAAAUAAUGUUCAAAGCCAGAUAAUAGUUUAUUUAUCAGUCAAUUAACAAACAUUUAUUAAGUGUGAUGUGAAGCACUGAAGAUAAAAAGAAAGAUUAAAAACACUCUGCUUGCCUUCAGGGAACUUACAGUUUAAUGGAAGAGACAAUGUGUACAUAACUUUGUGGGUACACUGUAUAAAUGGAAGGUAAUAUCAGGAUGAAAGGAAUAAGGAGUGAAUGGGGAGAGAGAUCAGGAAGAACCUCUUACAGAAAGUAGAAUUUGAGUUAAGUCUUAAAGGAAGCCAGGCAAGCUUGGACUUGAGACAUCAGUAAACAAGUUUUUAUCAAGCACCUACUAUGUACCAGGCGCUGCUAAUCAUGGAGGAUAAAAAGAAAGUCAAAAGGCAGAACCUGUUUUCAAGCAGCUCAGCUUAACUGGGGAAAUGACAUGCAAAAAACUACGGAAAAAUACACUAUAUAUAGGAGAAAUUGGAAAUAAUUAGUGGACAGAUAUUAGUAUUAGUUGAUCAGGAAAAGGUUUUAUGCAAAAGGUGAGAGUUUAUCUGGAACUUGAAAGAAUUGAGAGAAUCCAGGAGGCAGAGCAGAGAAUUCUAGGCAGGGGGCAAUCAAGUCAAAGACAGCAAUGAGAAAUGUGUCAUGGGAGAGAAUCAAUAGUUAAGUCAAUAUAGCUGGACUUGUGGAACCAAGUAAAGUUUAAGAAGACCAGGAAGGUAGGAGGAAGCCAUCUUAUACUUUAAAUGUCAAUCAGAGGACUUUUUAUUUAAUCUUGAAGAUAAUAGGAAGCCACUGGAGUUUAUUGAUUAGGAUGCAAUCCAAUCAAUCAGUCAACUAGUUCAUUGGAAGCUACUAUUCAUUGCACAUUUAUUACAUGCAGGGCACAGAGCUCCAUCUUCAGUGUUCAGGAGACAAAGUUUAUAUCAAGGAAGUAGCAUAGGAUUGAGAGCUGGCAGGACAUUAGAGGCAAUUAGUCAGAUGCCUUCAUUAAUAGAGGAAAAGAUUGAGAUCCAGAGAGGUGAUGACUUGUUUGAAAUCACACAAAUUGCAAGCAUUGGGCUCAGGACUAACCAACCAACCAAGAUAACCAAGUUAUCUUUCCCAAAACAAUGUUUUUAUCCAGUAUGCUAUGCUGCCCUUCUCUAUUUAUCUAUGUAAAAAUUUAUGUAAUUAUCUAUGUAAUCAUUUCCCUUUACCAUAGCCCUUUGAGGUUUUCAAAGCAUUUUCCUAUGGCAAUACUUUGCAAUGAAGGUAUUAUCAUACAACAUGUACUGAAAGUAUCAGUAUUUCAUAGGUGAGGAAAAAGUGACCUGGAAAAAGUUAAUUUACUUGCCCAGGGAAAGACAAAUAAAUGGUACAUCUCCAAGUUGGGAUUUGAAUCAGUGUCUUUUGCCUCCAAGUUUAGCAUCUUUCUACUAAUCCAUGGUUUGUAUGACAUUUAUUAUGAAAACAUGAUUCAUCUCUCUGUCCAUCUGUCCGUCCCUGCAUGCAUCCUUUUAUAUCUCUAUUCACUCAUAUUUUUAACUAUUGAGCCAUCCAUCUUUCUUUCUC